GCGGAUGUAGCUCAGUCGGAAGAGCAUCAGCUUCCCAAGCUGAGUGUCGCGGGUUCGAAUCCCGUCAUCCGCU
rnacentral:tRNA from 1 species